rnacentral:rRNA from 1 species
GACAAACGGGCCAAGUUAAGAAUAUCGGUAAAAAAGGAAAUUAAGGAAUUUUAAUUAUGUAAAAGUUUAUAUUUCUAUGAGGGGGUGGAAUCUGCAUAUAGAGAUAUUAUGCCAAUAUUUUUUAUCACCUAAUAUUUCGAGAGUUCGUUAGAAGACCGGGAUUAGAUACCCCGUUAUUUGUUCUAUAAAUAUUGAUUGUUUAAACAAUUUACCUGAGUACUACGGGCCUGAUAAAAAUUACUAUGACUGCGAAGGUUAUAAGUGGUUAUCAGAAUGCUUAAAACUCAAAAAACUUGGCGGUGCCUUAUCCUUCUAGGGGAACCUGUCCUGUAAUCGAUGGUCCACGAUUUACCUUACUUUUUCUUGAUUGGUUUAGUUUUAUGUAAGUGAAGCAGUAUGUAUACCGUCGUCGUCAGAUUACCUUUAAGAGUUAUGAAGUUGUCAAAUUAAUUAUUUGCUUAGGUUCCAUAACAUUAUGGAGUGUGGUUAAGGUUGUGAUGUCAGAUCAAGGUGCAGCUUAUGGAAAAGUAGAGAUGGGUUACAGUACAUAUUUUGUACACGAAUUCAAGUAUGAAAUUUCUUGAUAAAGGUGGACUUAGAAGUAAUAGUGGUUUAAGUAUAGAGUUGCUAUGAAUAAGUAGGUGCUAAGGCGCGC